rnacentral:sRNA from 1 species
GAACUGUUUUGUGCAAUGCUUUGCACAUCUUCCUUCCUCUCUCAUAAAGUAUCAAAGAUCACUUCACUUUAACUUCAUACAGAAAUAAUUGUACAGAGGAAAUCUGCUUGCAUAUCUGUAUCAUGUAUAUUUACAGGGGCUCAUUAUUAUUGAACUUGCAUCUGUAAUACACUGUAAACACACAAAAUUUCAAUAGGUACUCCCAAAAUCCAAAGUAUGAACUGAAUUCUUUUUUAGUUUUACUUACAUCUUAAUAAUCAAAAUUGUUCAAAUUACUGCUAUAAGAAAGUUAUACAUUAAUUUCAUUUUAAGUUGAUAAUUAUUAACACAAAUAUCUUGUGUAUACUGUAUAUAUAUAUAUACAUGUACAGAAGUAGACUUCAUCAAUUCUAUUAAUUUUUUUUUGAAAAUAUUUUGCUAUUUUUGCACCAUGGUCUUCAUAAGUUACUUGCAUAAUACCGUACAGCAGUCCAAUGAUUGUUUCCUGUAGUGAUUGGUGUGCAAUUUUUUCCCCCCAUAAUAUUUCUUAUGAAAUUCAUCAUGUCGAUUUUGCAAAUACAAGGAAAGAUGUAUUGCUUUUUGAUACUUUUUUUUUGCAGAAAGCAAAAACAUUAAUAUUCUUACCUCCAAAUUACAUGUAUAAUUACAUGUAGUAAUUAUUUUGGGAGGGAAAUAUCUUUUAGAUUUGUAUGUUAAAAAAAUCUGUUUCAAUUUUGUUUUUGCUUCUUGCAUAUUUUUUUUAAUGGAGUGCAAUAGUCAAUUCUUAUACCAGCUAUUUCAAGUAAGAAAACACUGUUAAUUGCCUUUAUCUCAAGUUUUGUUUUUGUUUUGAUGUUUUUUCCUCUUGACUUUUUUGGCUGUUUACUGAUAAUUUUGCUGUGCAAAAUAUGCCGAACCAAUAAGGUAAUCUUUUCCACUGAAACAAUGUACAUUUCAAAACAAAUUUAUCCAAUCUCUUACAAGCAUUUUGAAAAUUCUGUACACUCUCUCUAUUCUCCCACAUACAAUGGUAAAUCUUGUUCAUCUUCACUGGCAUCACCAGAUUCUAUAAGGCUUAAAUUGACCCAAAUGUAAUUCUUUUUAACAAAAAUAUAUAUUUAAUUUUGUCAAUUACUAAUAUUUUCACUAGAUUUGUUUUUGUUUUUUGUUUUUUUAAUAUAUUGAUACAUGGGAAUUUGCAAUCGGUUCAUUAGUGAGGUUAUCUUGUUUAACUUUUUUAAGAAGUAAAAACUGAGGCAUGUUAUUUAACCUCCAAUUGUUCUAGCUGCAUCAUGUCUUAUAUUCCAACACUGUAAUAUAAGUAAUCUCUUGUCUCACAGUGUGCUUUAUCUGCUAUAGAAAAGAUUGUGUGUACAUAUCAUUGUUAAAUUUUUACAUACAAGAAAAUCAUGAAAAGUGUAAUUCUGAAGAGCAGGCUUAUCCCCUCAUCCAUUAAAAGCCAAGGAGGAACCUUGUAUUGUCAUUUUGUGAUCUGAUUUCUUUCAUAUGAAGAUGUAGAGUAAUGUAUGGUAUACAUAUUUUGUGUGAAUGUUUACUUUCUUACGAGUGAGAAUGUUCUUGUUUUAUUAAAGUUGUUAUGAAGUUGUUGUAAUUAUAUAAAUUAUAACAUUAUUGUGUUCAAAACAUGACCUAAAAAUCUAAAUAACAACUCUGAAUAU